GAUGAACGCUGGCGGCGUGCCUAAUACAUGCAAGUCGAGCGAACAGACGAGGAGCUUGCUCCUCUGACGUUAGCGGCGGACGGGUGAGUAACACGUGGAUAACCUACCUAUAAGACUGGGAUAACUUCGGGAAACCGGAGCUAAUACCGGAUAAUAUAUUGAACCGCAUGGUUCAAUAGUGAAAGACGGUUUUGCUGUCACUUAUAGAUGGAUCCGCGCCGCAUUAGCUAGUUGGUAAGGUAACGGCUUACCAAGGCAACGAUGCGUAGCCGACCUGAGAGGGUGAUCGGCCACACUGGGACAGAGACACGGUCCAGACUCCUACGGGAGGCAGCAGUAGGGAAUCUUCCGCAAUGGGCGAAAGCCUGACGGAGCAACGCCGCGUGAGUGAUGAAGGUCUUCGGAUCGUAAAACUCUGUUAUUAGGGAAGAACAAAUGUGUAAGUAACUAUGCACGUCUUGACGGUACCUAAUCAGAAAGCCACGGCUAACUAAGUGCCAGCCGCCGCAGUAA
rnacentral:rRNA from 1 species